UUCUCUAUUAUAUUAUUUCGCGAAGCCUUGGCCCGUGCUUUGUUUUUGUUAUUUAAGACCUUUCCAUGAAGGGAGAGCCAACACAGUGAUUCGUGAGAAAUAUCGACUGGCACAAAUGAAUUCAUUCACACGUACUUGAGUACAUGCUCUGAGUGCGGUUGAGGGUUAUCACCCAAAGGUUAAAUCUCAUGCAUUAUUACGGAUGGUCCGAUACGGUGAACUUUGUACCACAGACUAUGUGACUAUCCCGCACUCCCAUAAUUUGUUUCGAUUGGUUGGAACUACUUCGUCUGUCGUGAUUCAUGCCCAUAGGCCGGCGAGUUUGUUUUUGUGAUGGGAUGUGAUUUUUGUCGAUUGCAGGUCAUUUCUCCGAGCUGGUUCGGAUUGCUGUUUUCAGGUGUAUCCAGAUGCAUUGGUGCGAUAAGGCGGCUUAUCACUUCCUAAAAUAUUGGGCAUCGUCUUGACUUGAUAGAUUAAGAAUAGACGUGUCAUUGCAAAAUAAUUUGGGUUGAGUAAUUAAAAUUUAUUAAGUAUUUUGUUGUAUACAUAAUUUCACUUAUUCAGUCAAGCUUUACCAGAUUCUGCACGUUGCUUUCAUCGAGUACAAUUGCAUACAAAAGUCAACAUACUCCUGGACAAAAUAAUAGGUCUGAGCGUUUUUAUUCUCAAACAAACUUAAUGAGCACUUUACACUUUUAAAGUAAAUUUAAUCGAAAUUCCUUUCCUUGGUAAAUUCUUUCUUUUAAAAUUGUUUGUCCACAUCAAGAUUAAGCAUGAAUACAAUUAUUACAGCAG